CUUUUGGGUGCCUAGGAAAUUAUUAGAAGGGAUGAUAGGUGCCAUGGAUUAAACCUUAAACCAUGAGAUAGAUACUCAUCCACUAAGCUACUAGUCUUCAACUUAUACAAAGUUGCAAUGGUUUCUAUGACCAUGCUUAUGACAUAAAGCAAAUUACCACUGCUAGGAUGGGCAUUACUUGAAGUAUAGAUGCUAAGACUCAAAC
rnacentral:misc_RNA from 1 species